UAGACCGCCUGGGGAGUACGGCCGCAAGGUUAAAACUCAAAUGAAUUGACGGGGGCCCGCACAAGCGGUGGAGCAUGUGGUUUAAUUCGAUGCAACGCGAAGAACCUUACCUGGUCUUGACAUCCACGGAAGUUUUCAGAGAUGGAAUGGUGCCUUCGGGAACCGUGAGACAGGUGCUGCAUGGCUGUCGUCAGCUCGUGUUGUGAAAUGUUGGGUUAAGUCCCGCAACGAGCGCAACCCUUAUCCUUUGUUGCCAGCGGUUAGGCCGGGAACUCAAAGGAGACUGCCAGUGAUAAACUGGAGGAAGGUGGGGAUGACGUCAAGUCAUCAUGGCCCUUACGACCAGGGCUACACACGUGCUACAAUGGCGCAUACAAAGAGAAGCGACCUCGC
rnacentral:rRNA from 1 species